rnacentral:lncRNA from 1 species
UUCUCCAUCCAUCCUCAUCCUCUCCACCAUCAUCAUCAGAGCUAGGAGCGGAGAACGAGGACGCUUGAUUAACGUAUUUACUUGAGUCUUGAGUUUUUGGAUGUCUGACUCAAGUGUCAUCCUACGUCGCUCCUCUUUCAUCCUUCUUUUUGUUCCUCCUCGUACUUCCUAUCAAGCUACCAAAUUUCCUAUCGCAUCUCCUCAAGCUGCUCAUCUGGCAUGGUGGCGAACCUUCUAUACCUUGCAAUCCACACUAGAGGAAAUGAAAUUUCUUCUUGGAGCAAAGAUCGUGCGCCCUUCUCUUAAACAUGCCGCCAACUACAUUCAGCCAACAUAAGAGAGUUUCUUCCUCUGAUAGCAUGAUUGGAUUGCCUUGAUCAUCUAUCGGUUGAAUUUUUUUGAGCUCUUCAAUUG